UACGGGGGGGGCAAGCGUUGUUCGGAAUUACUGGGCGUAAAGGGCUCGUAGGCGGCCAACUAAGUCAGACGUGAAAUCCCUCGGCUUAACCGGGGAACUGCAUCUGAUACUGGAUGGCUUGAGUUCGGGAGAGGGAUGCGGAAUUCCAGGUGUAGCGGUGAAAUGCGUAGAUAUCUGGAGGAACACCUGUGGCGAAAGCGGCGCACUGGACCAUAACUGACGCUGAUGCGCGAAAGCUAGGGGAGCAAACAGG
rnacentral:rRNA from 1 species